AACAGAAACCUCAGGAUAUAACACUGGGAGAACCAUUCGAAUAUGAAAGUAGAAUGGAAUAAGAAUAGUUGAAUACUCCAUCUUCUUGAUGAUCAAUAAGAAAGGCAAUACAAUCGUAUACUAAAGAUUUUUCCUCGAGCCAUAUUGAGAAAGAAUAUGCAAAAUUAAUUGGUCUCUUCAGGAAAUAACUCCCAAAAAAACAGCAUAAUUCCUUCAUUUAAAAAAAUCCUCCACAAUGUCAUUCAAGGAG
rnacentral:misc_RNA from 1 species